rnacentral:rRNA from 1 species
UACAGAGGGUGCGAGCGUUGUCCGGAAUUACUGGGCGUAAAGCGCACGUAGGCGGAUAUUUAAGUCAGGGGUGAAAUCCCGGGGCUCAACCCCGGAACUGCCUUUGAUACUGGCAAUCUCGAGUCCGGAAGAGGUGAGUGGAAUUCCUAGUGUAGAGGUGAAAUUCGUAGAUAUUCGGAAGAACACCAGUGGCGAAGGCGACUUACUGGACACAUAUUGACGCUGAGGUGCGAAAGCGUGGGGAGCAAACAGG